rnacentral:rRNA from 1 species
GGGACACGUGGUAUCCUGUCUGAAUAUGGGGGGACCAUCCUCCAAGGCUAAAUACUCCUGACUGACCGAUAGUGAACCAGUACCGUGAGGGAAAGGCGAAAAGAACCCCGGCGAGGGGAGUGAAAAAGAACCUGAAACCGUGUACGUACAAGCAGUGGGAGCACCUUCGGGUGUGACUGCGUACCUUUUGUAUAAUGGGUCAGCGACUUAUAUUCUGUAGCAAGGUUAACCGUAUAGGGGAGCCGCAGGGAAACCGAGUCUUAACUGGGCGUUAAGUUGCAGGGUAUAGACCCGAAACCCGGUGAUCUAGCCAUGGGCAGGUUGAAGGUUGGGUAACACUAACUGGAGGACCGAACCGACUAAUGUUGAAAAAUUAGCGGAUGACUUGUGGCUGGGGGUGAAAGGCCAAUCAAACCGGGAGAUAGCUGGUUCUCCCCGAAAGCUAUUUAGGUAGCGCCUCGUGAACUCAUCUUCGGGGGUAGAGCACUGUUUCGGCUAGGGGGUCAUCCCGACUUA